UGAAUAAUAGUUAAAAUAAAAUAUAACAUUUAAAUUGCAAUUAAAAAUUAUUUAA
rnacentral:tRNA from 1 species